rnacentral:rRNA from 1 species
GAUCAUGGCUCAGGAUGAACGCUGGCGGCGUGCUUAACACAUGCAAGUCGAACGAGGAUUUAACGGAAUGCGAUUCGUCAAAUGAAAUUAAAUCCGAGUGGCGGACGGGUGAGUAACGCGUGGAUAACCUGCCUCACACAGGGGGACAACAGCCGGAAACGGCUGCUAAUACCGCAUAACACAAGCAAUUCGCAUGAAUAGCUUGUCAAAGAUUUUAUCGGUGUGAGAUGGAUCCG